UGGGGAAUAUUGGACAAUGGGCGAAAGCCUGAUCCAGCCAUGCCGCGUGUGUGAAGAAGGUCUUCGGAUUGUAAAGCACUUUAAGUUGGGAGGAAGGGCAGUAAGCGAAUACCUUGCUGUUUUGACGUUACCGACAGAAUAAGCACCGGCUAACUCUGUGCCAGCAGCCGCGGUAAUACAGAGGGUGCAAGCGUUAAUCGGAAUUACUGGGCGUAAAGCGCGCGUAGGUGGUUCGUUAAGUUGAAUGUGAAAGCCCCGGGCUCAACCUGGGAACUGCAUCCAAAACUGGCGGGCUAGAGUAGGGCAGAGGGUGGUGGAAUUUCCUGUGUAGCGGUGAAAAGCGUAGAUAUAGGAAGGAACACCAGUGGCGAAGGCGACCACCUGGGCUCAUACUGACACUGAGGUGCGAAAGCGUGGGGAGCAAACAGG
rnacentral:rRNA from 1 species